rnacentral:rRNA from 1 species
GAUGAACGCUGGCGGCGUGCCUAAUACAUGCAAGUCGAGCGAACAGACGAGGAGCUUGCUCCUCUGACGUUAGCGGCGGACGGGUGAGUAACACGUGGAUAACCUACCUAUAAGACUGGGAUAACUUCGGGAAACCGGAGCUAAUACCGGAUAAUAUAUUGAACCGCAUGGUUCAAUAGUGAAAGACGGUUUUGCUUUCACUUAUAGAUGGAUCCGCGCCGCAUUAGCUAGUUGGUAAGGUAACGGCUUACCAAGGCGACGAUUCGUAGCCGACCUGAGAGGGUGAUCGGACACACUGGAACUGAGACACGGUCCAGACUCCGACGGGAGGCAGCAGUAGGGAAUCUUACGCAAUGGGCGAAAGCCUGACGGAGCAACGCCGCGUGAGUGAUGAAGGUCUUCGGAUCGUAAAACGCUGUUAUUAGGGAAGAACAAAUGUGUAAGUAACUAUGCACGUCUUGACGGUACCUAAUCAGAAAGCCACGGCUAACUACGUG